rnacentral:rRNA from 1 species
UACAGAGGUCUCAAGCGUUGUUCGGAUUCAUUGGGCGUAAAGAGCUCGUAGGCGGUUUGUCGCGUCUGCCGUGAAAGUCCGGGGCUCAACUCCGGGUCUGCAUUCGAUACGGGCAGGCUAGAGUUCGGUAGGGGAGAUCGGAAUUCCUGGUGUAGCGGUGAAAUGCGCAGAUAUCAGGAGGAACACCGGUGGCGAAGGCGGAUCUCUGGGCCGAUACUGACGCUGAGGAGCGAAAGCGUGGGGAGCGAACAGG